rnacentral:rRNA from 1 species
GAUGAACGCUGGCGGCGUGCCUAAUACAUGCAAGUCGAGCGAAGCGGGGACGGGUGAGGAACACGUGGAUAACCUCCUAUAAGACUGGGAUAACUUCGGGAAACCGGAGCAAAACCGGAUACUUAUGGCUGGAUACGCGAGGCAUUAGCUCUUUGGUAAGGUAACGGCUUACAAAGGCCACGAUGCAUAGCCGACCGGAGAGGGUGAUCGGCCACACGUGAACUGAGACACGGUCCAGAUGCCUACGGGAGGCAGCAGUAGGGAAUCUUCCGCAAUGGGCGAAAGCCUGACGGAGAAACUCCGCGUGAGUGAUGAAGGUCUUCGGAUCGUAAAACUCUGUUAUUAGGGAAGCGGUACCUAAUCAGAAAGCCACGGCUAACUACGUGCCAGCAGCCGCGGUAAUAC